GGGUCAGCAUGCUUCUCUGUUCUUCUUUAAUGACAGCUCUGGGGCAGCAUUAUUCCUGACUCUGCUUUUCCCUGUGUGAUGAGCAGGGACUCCACCAGUGGGCAGCUUCCUCUUGUGAGGCAGGAACAGGAACAGCUGCCACCUGUGCUGGGGACUUCUCAUUUCCAUGGUGUGUUCUGCACAUUGUGCCAAAGCUUCUGUCCUGCCUUGAAGCCAAGAGAAAGCCCUGAGCCUGCCUCACAUUGCUGGGAACUGCCAAGACCCAGAAGAGCACCUGCUUCUAAAACUGCAGGGAAAAACAUCUCAGUACUCCCUUCUCAGGAUAUCUCUCAAGACUGCUCUGAAGUUCAUUCCUGAAACCCAUUCAUCUCCAAGACAGAAAGAAAGCAGGAGGGAAAGAGUGGCUAAGACAAGUCUGAGGAGGGAGAAAUCAUGACUAAGAAGAAAAAAAAGGAGGAUAAUACUUUCAAGAUGGAAAAGUUAAC